CUGCGGUGCUGGUAGGAAUGGUUGGUGGAAGCUGGCGUCCGGACUGGUCCUGCGAGGGGUGAAAAAUCAGGUCCUCUGAAAAAGUCCUGCUGGAGACACAACCAAACCAGAGAACUAGCCUAGAGGACAGUGACAUGUCAAAGAUGUGGCUGAUUAAGAGAAAAGGAAAAUAACAAUUAGUAGUUCAUUUUCAUCGUGGCAAAAAGGCUCCAUCUGGUGGUGUUUUCACCCAGAAAAGAAGCUCCUGGUGGUGUCUGCAUGGAAGGCAGAGACCCUGGGCCCUGUGGCAGGAGGGUCACAGGUCCAAGCUGCUCUCUCUCUCGGAGGUUCCUUGAAUUCCCCCUUUCUUGGGAGAUGUCAACGCCGAGCAGAUAUUUGAGAGAGAGCUUGGCCAGACCCCCCAGCCUCUGCCCCCACAUCAAUUAGGGCCUGAAGAAGCGUCGUACCACUAAAUGCCCCACCAUGACCAGGGCCACCACCAGCAGCAUGUACUUCAUGUAAACAUUGUCCAGAUCGAGUGCAGCCACCUAACAGGAAACAGAGA